AUUGAACGCUGGCGGCAGGCCUAACACAUGCAAGUCGAGCGAGCGGCGGACGGGUGAGUAAUGUAUGGGGACUGCCCGAUAGAGGGGGAUAACUACUGGAAACGGUGGCUAAUACCGCAUACUAUCGGAUAACCCAUAUGGGAUUAGCUAGUAGGUGGGGUAAAGGCUCACCUAGGCGACGAUCUCUCGCUGGUCUGAGAGGAUGAUUAGCCACACUGUGACUGAGACACUGCCCCGAUGCCUACGGAGGCAGCAGUUGUGAAUAUUGCACAAUGGUGUCACGCCUGAUGCAGCCAUGCCGCGUGUAUUAAGCAUGCCUUAGGGUUGUAAAGUAGUUGCAGCGGGGAGGCGUGACCCGCAGAAGAAGCACCGGCUCACUCCGUGCCAGCAGCCGCGGUAAUAC
rnacentral:rRNA from 1 species